rnacentral:tRNA from 1 species
GAGGGUACAGCUCAAGUGGUAGAGCGCAUGCUUAGCAUGCACGAGGUCCUGGGUUCAGUCCCCAGUACCUCCU